rnacentral:rRNA from 1 species
GAUGAACGCUGGCGGCGUGCCUAAUACAUGCAAGUCGAGCGAACGGACGAGAAGCUUGCUUCUCUGAUGUUAGCGGCGGACGGGUGAGUAACACGUGGAUAACCUACCUAUAAGACUGGGAUAACUUCGGGAAACCGGAGCUAAUACCGGAUAAUAUUUUGAACCGCAUGGUUCAAAAGUGAAAGACGGUCUUGCUGUCACUUAUAGAUGGAUCCGCGCUGCAUUAGCUAGUUGGUAAGGUAACGGCUUACCAAGGCAACGAUGCAUAGCCGACCUGAGAGGGGGUAGGGCCAACGAGAAACUGAAAACGGGCCCAGACUCGUAGGGAGGGCAGAGGAGGGAAAUUUUCGCAAAGGGGGGAAAGCUGGAGGAAGGAACGCGCGGUGGAGGAAGAAGGUUUUGGGGCGGAAAAACCGUUUUUUUGGGAAAAAAAAAUUUUGAAGGUAACGUUGCCGAUUUGACGGGAACUAAUAAAGAAGCCCCGGGUAACCAAGUG